rnacentral:rRNA from 1 species
UACGGAGGGAGCAAGCGUUACUCGGAAUUAUUGGGCGUAAAGGGCGCGUAGGCGAUCUGACAAGUCUGGUGUGAAAGCCCCACAUGUUAACUGUGGAAGUGCAUUAGAAACUGUUGGAUUUGAGUUCAGGAGAGGAAGGCAGAAUUCCCGGUGUAGCGGUGAAAUGCGUAGAGAUCGGGAGGAAUACCAGUGGCGAAGGCGGCCUUCUGGACUGACACUGACGCUGAGGCGCGAAAGCCAGGGGAGCAAACGGG